UUUUCACAAGGCUUUGGCAUUUGCACCAGUAGUGAACACACACAUAGGCUACAACACACACAAUAGUGCGGAUGUCUGUGGUCACUGCACAAACCCCAGCUACGCAGAAUAGGAGAUGUUCACAUUUAGAAUGUGGAUUAAAAAAACAAUGUUGCUCCAUCUAAUAGAAGGCUAUACAUAAAAUGUACAAAUAAGAUGGAUGGCAAACCAACGGGAAUAGCCUACGUCCGUUUCCUACCAAAAGGAAUAGGAACGAAUAACAUCGAAUACAUUUCGAUUCCCCGGAAAGGACACCGGGAAUAUGAUAGCAUCAGAGUACAGUUGACGCAGGUACCUACAGCGCUCUACCCACUCCUGGAGCAGCACGGACCUUUCUCACCUGCUCAGAAGGCGCCGGACCCCUUAACACGCCACCUAUCUUCACGCGGAGGGAUAAUUGAGGAGUAUGUGUGUGAGCGUCGUUUGGAGAAGAACGUGAUCAAGUUGUUGUCUCCCUUGAGAUUACAUUUAUCAUUUGUAGGCUAUGCUUUGAGUCAAAGGUUAGAGGAAUUACCCACGAAUCAGACUUCCAAUAGCGACAUCACAAAUUAAAUAAAACAGCACUGUAAUUGCAGUGAGAGAGAGGAUCUUUAUAAUUCGGCGAGAGGCACUGUCCAUACUGGCAUAUGAGUCAAAUCUGUGAAAGGAGCGCCGAAGUACCUGAUUGGAGCGCACAGGUAGUUUACCUGUACAUAUAGUUCCCUUCCUGCGUGUAUCCAGAGGCACAACAGCGGAUAGGUAGCCGACCUCUGCCUUUUAUCUUGACUGAGUGACUGUAUAUUCUCAUUGAAAAUCCUUCUGUGCCAUUCCGCAUUGUAUUUAUUGUACAAAAACGAAAGGGGGAAGAUGCAGACAUAUUUUUCUACCGGGCUCUCACUGGCAUUAACCAAACACGCUGCGGCAAAGGCGUAAUUUACAACCUGCAAAUAUGCAUAUCAUACUAUAUAGGGCUUUUGUAAAAUGAUGUUUCAUGUUUAUCAUAGUUAAAAAAAAAAAAUCAUCACUUGUAGGCUCCAGUCUGUCAUGUGCAGCGGAGAGUAACUAACACACAUGGUUUGUGGUUGGUAAAGUAGGCUAUUCCCCUCCCUUCUCGGUAUCUAUUUAUUUUCUGGAUGGAUGGAUGAGAAGUUCACAAAUGGAUGGAAGCGGCUAUAUGAUGAGCCCACUCAAAGCCAGUUGGAUUUGAAUGGAGCUCAUACGAAACCAGGAAUAUGGAAACUUGAUCAAGAUGGCAGGUUACAGGAGGAAGAGUGCUGGGUGCUGGUGUCCUCAUCACGUUCUCAACUUACUGUUACUGUAUGGCAGAUUUUGUUGAGCAAUUCAUUUGGUUUUGGGCUGUUCCCUGGCGUCCCCACCUCCCAGAGAAAUGUCUGAGGCCUUGAUAUAUUCCUCUCAGGUUUCCAUGGCCGCACCACCCGGGCCAGAUCCCGUUGCACUGAUGUCACUCAUGAAUUGAACCACCUCGCUACGGGAAGGGAUUCACAAGGGGGAAAGGGAGUUGGAUCACAGAAAGCAGCUGACAGACCAGGGCCCAUAGCAGUGCUGAUCUCAGAGUAUCAGUACUGAUUUAGGAUCAGUUUAGCCUUAUAGAUCACAAUGAAUAUGAUUACAAUGACAAGGGGGAGCUGGUCCUAGAUCGCUAUUCCUACUCUGAAGCCGCUUUGUGAAUACGGGCCCUGGAUGAAAGCUGUUGCCCAAUUCCUUGCACAGAGGUCGUUUCACCACAGGACCCUAGAGGCCGAUGCAUGCUGUGACAUGGGCCUGGAUGAUGACAAAUGUUCUUCAAGCUGCCUGAUUGAAUACUGGGGCCUUCAGUGCUACUGGAAGCAAGUGCCUUACCAGGGAGCACAGCAACAGUUUCUCUCACAGCCAUUCUGUCAACAUGUAUUGAAUGUAACCACUCAAAUUUAUAUGAACGACUACUGGCAAAAGCACUGACAUAUAUUUACUUAGUCUAUUUUAACCAUUCUUCAAUAUUGACUGGGAUACAUAUUUUAGUUCUCACGCCUUUGUGAUGUGUCUGAUAAACAUGAAUAAAAAUGUAUUCACCCUUGCACUGAUUUUAGACCUUUGGAAUCAUAAGCUGUAAGUGCUGUCUUGAUGUUGAAAUGACCACAGAAUACAAAAAAUGUAAUAAAAAGUGAAGACCAACGUG